GACGAUUUCAUCCAGUGCUGUGUGGUGCUCCAGACUCUGACUAGUGCUUUCCGAUUCUACGACACGGACCAAGAUGGCUGGAUACAGAUUGGAUAUGAACAGUUCUUGAUGCUCGUGUUCAACCUCAAAUCCUGAUCUGUCUGACCAACAACUCCAGAAAUAAACAUUUCAUGCUUUUCUGGCAAAUUGUAUCUCAUUAGCAAUAAAUUCUAGAUUAAUCAUGUAUAUUUACAAUUUCUGUGGCUAUUACUUGUAAUUAAAUUCAUUUUUGCCGAAUUUACAUAAAUGUUUUACGUGUAAUAUCUGUUUUCUUUAGGGUAGGAUGUAAAUGUUAAAGCUGUAUACUCAAGAUUUUUAGUGCAUAGAAAUAAAUUAAAUUUGCCAUUACAAUGUAACUGAAUCACAGUCAUU
rnacentral:misc_RNA from 1 species